UCUCCGUUGGUGAACCAGCGGAGGGAUCAUUACAGGACUCGCAAGACUCCUACAACCCUGUGAACUUAACUAUAAGCACGUUGCUUCGGCGGGUGUCUCGGAGGGGGUUCUCCCUCCCCGAGACGCUAAACCCGCCGGCAGCCCACUAUACACUGUCUCUUUGCGUUGGCAUCUCGAGUACAAUCAAACAAGUUAAAACUUUCAACAACGGAUCUCUUGGUUCUG
rnacentral:misc_RNA from 1 species